rnacentral:rRNA from 1 species
AUUGAACGCUGGCGGCAUGCCUUACACAUGCAAGUCGAACGGUAACAGGUCUUCGGAUGCUGACGAGUGGCGAACGGGUGAGUAAUACAUCGGAACGUGCCCGAGAGUGGGGGAUAACGAGGCGAAAGCUUUGCUAAUACCGCAUACGAUCUCAGGAUGAAAGCAGGGGACCGCAAGGCCUUGCGCUCACGGAGCGGCCGAUGGCAGAUUAGGUAGUUGGUGGGAUAAAAGCUUACCAAGCCGACGAUCUGUAGCUGGUCUGAGAGGACGACCAGCCAAACUGGGACUGAGACACGGCCCAGACUCCUACGGGAGGCAGCAGUGGGGAAUUUUGGACAAUGGGCGCAAGCCUGAUCCAGCCAUGCCGCGUGCAGGAUGAAGGCCUUCGGGUUGUAAACUGCUUUUGUACGGAACGAAAACACUCUGGUUAAUACCUGGGGUCCAUGACGGUACCGUAAGAAUAAGCACCGGCUAACUACGUGCCAGCCGCCGCCGUAAUAC